AUUGCUUCUCAACAUUUGACUAAGAUCAAGUACAGUAUCUGUUCUUAUCUAAUGGCUGAUGUACCCUCUAUCUGAGGACAAUAUACUAAAUGGAUUUGUGGUUCUGGGAGACAGAAUAGGAGCUUGCUCCAUCCACUCCAUGCAUUGAUCUAGUAUGGCAGCACCUUCUAGAACAGCGCAACACCA
ensembl:snRNA U2 U2 spliceosomal RNA